CCACCGCCCCCGGUUCCGCCCUCAGCCGCAUUCCCACAGGGAAAGUACGCCUGCGCGGACGAAGAGAAGGCGUGGAAAAGGGACCGGUGUGUUAUCUCUGGAUGCCCCCUACUGAACCAUUUUCUGUGCAACUGGGAUUCUGUUCGGAAAGUCCUGUCCUAUGCCUCUAGGGAUCCUGCCCUGACCUGGAGGAAAGAAUGCUGCACCAGAGGCUGAUAUUUCUGACGUCCAGACAAGCAGGGCCUUUCUGCAGCACCAGCGCCAGCAUCACUACAUCUGCUUUGUCCAAGCCAGUUGUGGCAACUACAACUAAAGAACUGAACUUUAACCAUGUUGGGUGUGUGUGCUCCAGUUUCAUUGAGGAGGCUGAGGCAGGAGGAUCACUUGAG